ACCACUGGUGCUAAAGCGCCAUAUGGAAUUCUUCUGUUUAUCUGACACUGUCAUGUGUCAUGUCAUUACCUCGCUAAAUCUUAAAUCCUCAGUUUAUCGAUUACAAUAACCUAAUAACGUCAAAAUUAACAACCUAUCUGACUAAACUAUCAACAUAUUUGAAAAGCGAUGGAGCAUUCAAUUCAGAGCAAGCAUCCAAACAUUGGUAUUCAACAAAUUUGUGCAACAAUCCUGUGGAACAUCUCCUAGGGUUGAGGCCAACUGUAGAUAGUUUGAAAGGCUAUUUAAAAAGGUGAAUCACAGACUUCGGUGACAUAAUCCAGGCGUCAGCAUAUUUUUAAAAGUUUCUGUGGUAAGCAGAGCUUUUAUUAUAUUAGCGGUGUGUUGCAUGACUUGCAUAUGCAACAUGUAUUAACAGCUUUUCAAACGGACAGACAAUCUUGGAGAUUAAGUUUCUCGUCUAACGAAACCUCCAGUAUAACUACAGUAUCCUAGCGACAAAUCUGAUUAUUAGCUUGCGCUGUUAUUGAUUCAAUUUUUAUCCAUGUAUUACCCAUAGAAGUAUGAGAUUACCGGAUUGGUCAUAUCUUGUUUGUGCAUUGGGUUGCUUUUUGUUAAUUUUUAUCUAUGAGGGAGGUAUAAACUAUGAUUCUUUGUCUAAUUUAUUGCAUUUUUGAAGCUUAAAGUCAUAAAUUUUAGACGUAAUGCUGAAUUUUAAAGAAAUAUUUAUACGUACGCAGACACUAAUCGAGCACUGCAUAUUCGAAGUAAGACAACUUCUUGCACAACACUUUCAAACCAAAAGGCAUUAGUAAACAAUAGGUAUAGAGUUUUAGCUUUCAAAAUCUUGUCUAUUUUGCAUCGUUUUCCGACCCUAUGGUCAUAUCAUCAUUGCUCCAGCAAAGCGCGGAAGUUGACUGGACCAUGGACCAAACAUAUGGAAUAAAAAACUCUUCAGGCUGAUCCUCUUCCACAUAACGAAACUUAAGUUCUGGAAAUUUCUUUAUGAUGAUAAAAAAAGGGAAAUCAACACAACCUAAUUGUAUAGACUGGAGAAUUUCAUUCACACCCGGUUCACUUAAUUGACUUAUUCUGUUACUAAAGUAGUUGGAAACCUAAAAUGAAACAAAAGAUCAAAACCUAUAGAUCAGAUUUGGAUUACAUCCUAGUUGAUGGGUGAAUGCGGCAUUCAGAAUCUCCAACAGCAUUCGCAGUACUUCCUCAAUGAUACUAAGGUCUUGUUCCAGCUGUUCCCUUGAUGUACCUGAAAGGGGAAAAAUUAAUGUUUGUUUGUUUAGCGAAGAAGAUCGUAAACGCGAUUUUGUUCUACUCACCUUCUACGUCACUAGAUUUCAGCUGCUGUACAACUCGGAUUCUUCGUUUGUUCAAGGUACAUAAAAGUGAAACUAGCCUUUCGCAUGUGUAAGGAUGUAGCCGACGAAAAUAUGCCGCCAUAUUAGCAAGCGUAGCUAGACAAUUGGUGUGUAAAUACUUGUCCUAUGUAAGAAAAAUCAUUAAGUAUCGGGGUCGCUUAAAA